rnacentral:rRNA from 1 species
GACGAACGCUGGCGGCGUGCUUAACACAUGCAAGUCGAACGGAAAGGCCCUGCUUUUGUGGGGUGCUCGAGUGGCGAACGGGUGAGUAACACGUGAGUAACCUGCCCCUGACUUUGGGAUAACUUCAGGAAACUGGGGCUAAUACCGGAUAGGAGCUCCUGCUGCAUGGUGGGGGUUGGAAAGUUUCGGCGGUUGGGGAUGGACUCGCGGCUUAUCAGCUUGUUGGUGGGGUAGUGGCUUACCAAGGCUUUGACGGGUAGCCGGCCUGAGAGGGUGACCGGGCACAAGGGGACUGAGGUACGGACCAGACGGCUACGGGAGGCAGCAGUGGGGAGUAUUGCACAAUGGGCGGAAGCCUGAUGCAGCAGCGCCGCGUGCGGGAUGACGGCCUUCGGGUUGUAAACCAAUUUGGCCUGUGACGAGGCGUGAGUGACGGUAAUGGGUAAAGAAGCACCGGCUAACUACGUG